GCGUGGCCUUUCUCUGGGUGCACCAGUUGCCUCACUCACACCGAUAACAUACGGGUUAGUGUUAGUCAGCUUUGCCAUGUUAGGUUGGUGACAUUGUGAGCUAUUUUGAUUUGACAUAAAACUAUGCAAACUAUGUUUGGAUGUACAUGGGACAAAUCAAGUUAAUCUUUAACUCAGCAAUUCCAGUAUUUCUUACUAAGUUCCCAACUUCUGGUUUUAGUCCUCACUCUCCCUGAAACUUUUUAUUCUGCCUUUUGCCCCUUCCUUUCCAGUCCUAAUGAAAGGCCUCAGCUUAAGCAUCCACUAUUUAUUCUGCUCCAUAGAUGCUGCCUGACCUGCUGAGUUCCUCUAGCAUUUUGUGUGUGUUGCCUCUGAUUUUUAUAUCUUUUCAGUAUUGAUUGUUUGUUCUUUCCUGAAUUCUGGUCCACUCUCCUCAUCUGUCAGAUUCCUUCUUCUCCAGCCUUUUGCCCUUUCCACUUACUCAUUUCAUCCCCCAUCCCCACUUCCCAGCCUGGCCUCACAUCAUCUUCUAGCUUGCCCUUCUUUGGCUCCCCCCUCCACCCUCUUAUUCUGACAUCUUCCCCCUUCCUUUCCAGUCCUGAUGAAGGGUCUCAAACGUUGACAGUUUAUUCCCCACCAUUGAUGGUACCUGAUCGGCAUCUUGUGUGAGUUGCUCUGUGUUCAGCUCCAGGUGUGAUGGAUGCCUGUUUACAUGGCACAGACUCCUCUAAAAGUCCAAAGACUCACAACCAACGUUUGGGGUAGAUUUUCAUCUUUUUUCUGACUAGUAAGUUCAUACAAAUUAGGCCUUGUAUGAUUGCAAAAGAAACUGGAGAAAGGGAAAAUGACUGGAUGAAAAUAUUGGAGCAAAAUUGCAGGUGUAAAUGGAUUUCAUAAAUCAGCAGUUGUGUGUGAAACACAAGCAAAUACGACAACAGCCUUGAUGAAACUGUCUUCUACAUGGGAAUUCAGAAACUCUUUUGGCAGGAAGAUGCAGUUCUUUUGUUGGUGUCUUGGAACAGUGGUGCAUAAAAACAUGAUGGUAAAAAGAGAAAAGGGUUCUUUUGCAGACCGUGACCUGGAGUUGCAUGGUAACUACGGUUCUUUGCUGGAAUGAGACCCACUCUCGGGGUUUCAUGAAUGGAUGAUGUUGAAUGGGCUCGGCCUAAGGGCUUCACUCACCUUUGGUGGACCAAGAUUUCGUCGCUCUGGAGAUGGGGGGGGUCAGAGGUCGGUGUCCAGGCAGAAGACCAAUGCAUCGUGGGAGAUGGAAGAUCUCUGGCUGUGUGCCCAGAGACCUGAGAUCUCAGAAAAAGUGACACAAUGGACUUUUAUCAUCGUAAACCAGCGAGAUGUUUGUUAUGUCUCCCCUCUCGCUGUGAAACAGAGACACCUCUUUCUCCCUUAUUAGGGAGAGAGAGAGCCUGUGGUAUGUCGAAUACCGGGUGAACAAGUAGUC